rnacentral:rRNA from 1 species
UACGUAGGGUGCAAGCGUUGCCCGGAUUUAUUGGGCGUAAAGAGCUCGUAGGCGGUCUGUCGCGUCGGUCGUGAAAACCUGCAGCUUAACUGUGGGCGUGCGGUCGAUACGGGCAUGACUGGAGUUCGGCAGGGGAGACUGGAAUUCCUGGUGUAGCGGUGAAAUGCGCAGAUAUCAGGAGGAACACCGGUGGCGAAGGCGGGUCUCUGGGCCGAUACUGACGCUGAGGAGCGAAAGCGUGGGGAGCGAACAGG